AUGAAUCCUGCAAACAUAAAAAAAAAAUCCAGAUUGUGUUUCUGUCCUCAGGAAUCUGGUAGAAAUGUUCAGCCUGUGCAGCCACCUAAACGCCGGCGUGUCCUUGAUCCAUCAGCUGUUAUUCCUGUAUCAGUGUACUCCAGCAAGGUGAGCAGUUGCCUACAGAUGAAGCCAACAGCCCUGUUUACCGAUAAAGAAAACCCAGACGAUGAUUUAGAUGAGAGUCUGUGGUCGGGGUUUUUCUCUCGGACAUCUGCCAGGCUCAGUGACUCUGAGGAUGAAGCAGAUCCUCAUCACAGCUCAGAGAAUCGUGUAGAAGACCCUUCUCCUCAUCCUCCUCCUCCUCCAGAGAGCCCCGUUCGGAAGCAGUCCAGGAAGGCCACUAAGAACAUCAAUGAGAUCAACAAGAGGCUGCGGGCCAUGAGCUCCAUCAUGUCCCCAGAACCCCUGAGGAGGCCGUCCAAACGGUGCAAAGCCUCUUCAUCUGUCCAACCUGAUUUGGACCAUGAAAAUGUAGAUGAUGAUGUCAUCAUCAUGAGCCCAGACACACAGAAGUCGUACAGCUCAGACUCGGUCCGAGAGAUCCCCCUUAAAGUUCGCUGCAGAUCAGACGUCUACAAAAUCCCAGUUCUGUCGUCCGCACCUUUAACUGACGUGGUGAGCCAGCUGUCCGUCAUUCUGAAAGUCCCGCCCACUUCCCUCCUCCUGCUGAGGCAUGACAUUGAGCUGCCGUCAGACUCCUCUGUUGGGGAGCUGGGCCUCAGCAUCGCUGACAUCAUAGGUGAGUCAGUUGUUUUUAAAGAGUGUUGUGUUCUUGUUUGUCUCACUCAGGUUUUUGUAUCAUUCUGUUUUCUUUUUAUCACAAUUCAAUGUUUUCCUCCACAAUGCUGA
rnacentral:lncRNA from 1 species